GAAAAUGAGGUCACUUGUUCCCUUGCCUCCUGCUUUCCUCUGUCAGCAGCACUCCUGGAAAUCCCUCCAGGUCACCUGGAGCGGCUCCAACUCUUCCUCAGUGGCUGCCAACGACUCUAUGGUCUUUAAUGUUAAGCUGGAAUUUCCCCUCCUACUUUCUCCGAGGACUCUGACCCUGGCAGGGACAGAGAACUCCCCCUGUGCCCUGGGAGGACGGUGUGGCGUGGCGGUGGGAGACCAGAAGCCUGCAGACCCAGGUCCUAGGCAGACGAUGGGAAGAGAGCUGGAGAUAAUGAAGGUGGGCCCAGCGGAACCCCAGUGGUCCUGAUGAGGGGGACAAAGGAUGGUCAGAGGAUGGAAGUGGAGGCCUGAGUGAUGUGGCCACCAGGCAAGGAAUGCAGGUAGACUCUAGAAGAUGGAAAAGGCAAGGAAAUGGAUUCUUCCCUGGAAUCUCCAGAAAGAAACACAGCCCUGCUGACACCUUGAUUUUAUCCUUGUGAGACCCUCUGACGUCCAGAACUGUAAGGCAACAAACCUGUGUUAUUGUAAGCUG